rnacentral:rRNA from 1 species
CUGAGGAUUUGAUCCUGGUCCAGGAUGAACGCUGGCGGCGUGGAUUAGGCAUGCAAGUCGAACGGGUCUGACGGAUCCCGCAAGGGGCUCGUCAGACCAGUGGCGAACGAGAUAGGAACACCUUGGUACCUUCCCUAGAGUCUGGCAUAGCUCGUCGAAAGACGGGGUAAUUCCGGAUAGUCUCGAAAGAGUAAAGACGUAAGUCGCUUUAGGAUGGGCCUAGGCCUGAUCAGCUAGUUGGUAGGGUAACGGCCUACCAAGGCUAUGACCAGUAGGGGAGCUGAGAGGCUGUUCCCCAUCGGGGGCACUGAGACACGGGCCCCACACCUACGGGUGGCAGCAGUCGAGAAUAUUCCACAAUGGGCGAAAGCCUGAUGGAGCGACGCCGCGUAGAGGAAGAAGUAUUUCGGUAUGUAAACUCUUUUUCAAGGAGAGGAACUUCGGUGACAGUACCCUUGGAAUAAGGAGCUGCUAACUUCGUGCCAGCAGCAGCGGUAACACGAAGGCUCCAAGCGUUAUCCGGAUUUAUUGGGCGUAAAGCGCGCGAAGGCUCUUGUCUUCUCGCAAGAGAACCGAACAUGUAAAUUAUUUAUGUGUGCGGCAAGUUUGAUGUUAAAGCUCACGGCUCAACUGUGAGAUCGCAUCAAAUACUGGGCAGGUAGAGGUAAAGAUGGGCUGACGGAACGCACGGUGUAGGGGUGAUAUCCGUUGAUAUCGUGCGGAACACCAAAAGCGAAGGCAGUCAGCUGGCUUUAUUCUGACGCUGUUGCACGAAAGCGUGGGUAGCGAACAGGAUUAGAUACCCUGGUAGUCCACGCCCUAAACAAUGUUGACUAGUCAUUGGGAGCAUCGACCCUUUCAGUGGCGUAGCUAACGCAUUAAGUCAACCGCCUGGGAAGUACGGCCGCAAGGCUAAAACUCAAAGGAAUAGACGGGGACUCGCACAAGCGGUGGACCAUGGGGUUUAAUUCGAUGGUAAGCGAGACACCUCACCAGGGCUUGAAAUUCUGCCGUCCUAUUUUCUGGAAACAGAAGAAAUUCGCAAGAAGGGCAGAACAGGUGUUGCAUGGUUGUCGUCAGCUCGUGCCGUGAGGCGUUCCCUUCAGUGGGGUAACGAGCGCAACCCUUGUUGCCAGUUAUAUGUGUCUGGCAAGACAGCCGAGCUUGACUCGGAGGAAGUGAGGAUGAUGCCAAAUCAGCAUGACCCUUUGAUGCCCUGGGCGACACUCAUGGUACAAUGGUCGGGACAGUGGGCUGCCAAGCCGUAAGGCGGAGCUAAUCCCUAAAACCCGACCUCAGUUCAGAUUGAGGGCUGAAACUCGCCCUCAUGAAGUCGGAAUCGCUAGUAAACGCAGAACAGCUCGCUGCGUUGAAUACGUUCUCGAGUCCUGUACUCACCGCCCGUCAAGUCAAGGGAGCCGGGAGGAGAUGAAGCCUCGACGUUUGUCGGGACAAAUUUCAGCUUGGUGACAGGGACUAAGUCGUAACAAGGCAUCCGUAGCGGAAGCUGUGGAUGGA